CUCACUACUCGUAACUGGUGAGCCUCUCAAUUGAUCAAAUACACUUAACUUCUGUAAUAAAAAAAGGCUUAAAACAAUAGUAAUAAGAGGCAAGUGAGACCAAAUUCUUUUUUCAUAAAUCGUGAAAGAUAUAGUGGACAUGGAGGGGAGAGAAGAAGAUGUGAGGGUGGGUGAUCAAAAUAGGUAUAGAGAGAGGCCACCCAUAGGAACAGCUGCUCAAACCCAAAAUGUCAACGACUAGACAGAGCCACCUCCAGCACCACUUCUUGAGCCUGGGAAUUGUCAUCAUGGUCAUUUUACAUGGCAGGCAUUGCCGAAUUUGUUGCCACUUUUUUGUUCCUUUACAUCAAAGUGCUAACUGUAAUGGGGGCGGAAAAACCCGCACCAAGUGUUCAACGGUUGGAAUUCAGGGCAUUGCUUGGUCUUUUGGUGGGAUGAUUUUUGCUCUUGUCUAUCGCACUGCUGGCAUUUCAGGUACUGCUUGCCACUUUUUUGUUCCUUUACAUCAAAGUGCUAACUGUAAUGGGGGCGGAAAAAUCCCGCACCAAGUAUUCAACGGUUGGAAUUCAGGGCAUUGCUUGGUCUUUUGGUGGGAUGAUUUUUGCUCUUGUCUAUCGCACUGCUGGCAUUUCAGCAGCAGAAACUACUUUUUCAAGGAGCGAGUAUGUGUCGGUAACAAGUGAAGACAAGGCACAGUUCAUUUUCCUCUCAAUCAAUGAGAAGACAGUGAAAUAAAUCUAACUACACCAGGACAAACAUCUGUCCCAAAAACAAUAGAUUUGGUAUGUAAUUUGAAUGGUUUAUAUGGUAAGUAUGCUUCUUCUUUUUCUUUUUCUUUUUUUAAUUUUCAAUACGUAAUUAUUAAUUUCAAUAAAAAGGAGGCAAAAUUAAUAAAUAAAUUAGGUUGAUUUAACAUAAGAGAAUAAGAUAAGUAAAAUUUAUUAAACCUUUUAACAAUAACUUAGAAUAUUUAAUUAUUUUUCUCUCUUAAAGCUUUCAUCACUUAAUAAAAAAAUUGCUUUUCAAUCAUAAUUCAAUUGACAUUAAGGAAUUAAUUAGGGGCUUUUGCUAAUUAAUUUAAUCUUUAUCGAUCUUCCUUGCUUAAAGAAAUUUAAGAAUUUUCUUGAAUUAAAAAAAAUAUUUAUUUUACUUCGAUGAUCAACCUAAUUCAUUGAAUGAACAAUUUCUUUGAAUUGAGCAUAUAAACAUUAAAUUAUCUUUUAUAUUUUAUUUUCAAAAGUUUAAUUUUCUUUAGUUUUCUUAUUAAUCCCCAAUUUUUAUUUCAAUUUAUUGUAAGAAGAAUUAGAAUAGUUUCCUUUGGGUUCGACCUGGCUUUUACUAUAGUGCUAUAAAAAAUCAAAUCUUUAAAAAGAGAAAAAAGUCAAAAUUAAUUUUGAUAGUUUCAAUAACAACCAAAAUACUGGUGGUAGUUUAAAUUUACUAUGUUUGGGUUUUGAAAGAAAGGUCAAGUGUUUGUAAGAGGUAUUUCAUCAAUGGAUAUGUUUUUCAUACUCAAUGAGUUUAUGUUAUAUGAUCAACUUCUAAAGAGUUUGAAGUUGAUUAUUUUUGAAAAUUAAAAGAGAUGAUUGAACUGUAAUAUCAUACUAAGUAAUAUAGAUAGGAGCGCUACUGGUUCUUCUAGCAAUGCUUCUAAGGACCAUGAGUUGCUAGGUGCCAAUUAUGAUCAGACACUUAAGUCAUAUGCACUCUUUCUCGACACAUGCUCAUUGAGUGCGGUGCCGCCUUGCAUAAAGAGUGUGUCUUAUAAGCAGGAUGUAUAUAAUGGAAAAUACAUUACUUAGUGGAAGCCCGACCACAAUAUGAAAGUUUUUUUUUCCCUUUCUUGCAUGAUUAAAAAAUAAACAACAAUAGAUAAUUUUUGAAUAAUUAAUUUUUAUGAUCGAAUGAAAUUUCAAGUUUAUAAAUAUGGAGGCUUUUCACACAAUAACAUCAAUGUUUAAAUCAUGAAUGAAAGUACCUUUGUUUCAGUGGAAUCAGAUUUUCAAAAAUCCUAAAUAGAAGUUUAUGAUUGAUGCUUGGUUUAGAAAAUUUAAGGUUAGUAUAUAUAUUAACAUUUUUUUUUAAUUUGAUCAGUUUUUUAAUUUUAAUGAACUAACUAUUUUAUAAAAUUGACGUGUAAGGAAAACUUUUAAUGGGAGGAGGUUGACAAUGUUAUUUGCUAGGAGGGUGUUGGAGAAUCACAACGCUAUUAGGCUACUUCUCUUGGACAUGAUCCAAGAUCAAUUGAGCUUUUUGUUGAAAUUCAUAUGCGAAAUAAGGACCGCUAAAAAGCAGUGCAGCGACUCAUUGAUAGCUGAGCUCAGAAGUUCAUGAGAUACAAAGACGAUCUUUCAAUCCAUUCAGAACUCGAUCCAGAUUUAUAGUUGGAGGCUAGAUCAUUCGGUAGACCCAAUAUAAAUUAGAUUUAUGGUAUCUCAAACACUACAAGUGAUGAUAUGCGGAUGAGCCAUAGUGUAUUGACCAUUGGUUCCUAGCAAUCAGGUUUGAUCACCUAAUCUCCGGCUGUCCAAGCGAUUGUACUACCCUGCUUAGUGUUGAGAUGACCCAACUUAGAUCCGAUACUACUUAACUUAGGUGAUCUUACAAGGAGCUAUUGUCAAACAUCAGUGGUUCAUGUGGUCUACCUUGUUGCCCACUUGGUCUUGAUGAAGAUCAGCCUCUGCCUCCUCCUCCUUCUAAUUUAGCUUCUGUCCCUUAAAAUAAUUGUAUUUAAUAAUAUUUUUAAAAUUUAUAAUAAAAAUGUGGUUUUGUAUUUUA